AGAGGCUCUAACCCACUGAGCCACCCAGGCGUCCCCCAACAGUCUCUCUCCAGUGCCUUUCCUACAUCCAGUAAGAUGUUAACGGUCACCGAAAACCCGUUCAUUUCCCUUCAGCACUACUGUCCUAAUAUAUUGCAAAGACAAAAUAAGGAAGAAUAGUAACGAAGCGCACACACACAACCAAAGAAACCCAACUCCACUUCAAAUCAAACCGCAUUGGUGGUGGUGAGGGCCCGAGUCCAAGCCUGACUUACUAUCCACUAUAAUCUGUAAGGAGCAAACAUCCUUCUCAUUAAACUCCUUCAAAACUAAAAAGAGAAGUUCGUAGAAGGCUCUUGAGCAUAGCCAGGAAAAUUACGCGUGCGAGAAAUCGGCCCAGGCUACAAACCAAAUCAAACACACACACACACACACACACACACACACACACACACACACCCCUCUAAAACACGUGUGGACCGGUAACAGAAGCAAGAACACUGCAGUGAGGCGGAUGAGGCUCAGACCCCAGCCCACCCCCUGCUAGCUGUCUGACCUUCAACAAGUGAACGCAGACUCUCCGUGCUCGGUUUCCUUAUCUGGAAAAUGGAAAGGGUACCUACCUCCCAGGGUGGCUACAAGAAUUAAACAGAAGUAUUCAAACACUCGGCGUCAUGUCUGACACACAGCAAGCACUGCAAAUAGUUAUCCCUAUGAUUCCUGUACCACGGACAUUGCAGCUGUUUAAACUAGGAGCUCCUUGGUAUCACCGUUAUUUUAUUUUAUUUUCUUAACAGUGAGACGUGUCACUAUUCAGCGGUAUAUAUGUAUUUUUUUUUACCUAAUUAUAUUCAGUAGCCAAUUUUAAAGAAUAAACGCAUCUUCUCCCCCAGGCAGGGCGCUGCACUGGAAAACCCGGCCGGUAAACCGCCCGCUUCCUCGCACUGCACAUUAAGAGGCAAACGGCUCUUAAAACACGGGGCCAGGUGCCAUUCGAGACGGUUCGGUCGCACCACAACAGCUGUUCACACCUAGACUGCGGGCUCCCUGCGAUCCGCCGCGAACCGCCGCGCUCCCGCCGCGAAAGCACGCGCUCGCUCCGGGCGCCACAACGAGGCGCCGGCGGAGGGCUGCGACUCGGUCCUCCCGAUUAACCGUGAGCGCGCUCCGCCCCGGGCCCGCCCGCCGGGGCCCGCAAACCCGCGCUGGCCCUCUCCUGCGGACGACCACAACCUUUACCCGCGAAAACAAACAAGAACCCUCGCUGGCCUUUUCGUUGCCCUCACGAGCGACACACCCUUG